rnacentral:rRNA from 1 species
AGAUUGAACGCUGGCGGCAGGCCUAACACAUGCAAGUCGAGCGGCAGCACGGGUACUUGUACCUGGUGGCGAGCGGCGGACGGGUGAGUAAUGCCUAGGAAUCUGCCUGGUAGUGGGGGGAUAACGCUCGGAAACGGACGCUAAUACCGCAUACGUCCUACGGGAGAAAGCAGGGGACCUUCGGGCCUUGCGCUAUCAGAUGAGCCUAGGUCGAUUAGCUAGGUUGGUGAGGUAAUCGGCUCGACCAAGGGUCGACGACUUCCGGUAACGUGGUACUGAGGAGGAUGAUCAGGUUCCACACGUAGGAACUGAGACCACGGUACCAGUACCUCCGUAACGGGG